rnacentral:lncRNA from 1 species
UUCAAACUAAUUAAAGUCCUAAUUAACUGACUAGGAAAAGCUUAUGGAAUUCCAACUAAUAGAACCAUAACUUAAACUCUUGAUAGAUUUUAAAACUUCAUUUCAAAAGAUGUUACACGCUGAAUUAAAUAUAAGAAGUCAUGAUCAAACUUGAUAAGCAAAUAAACCACUCCUAUCUUGUGUUCAUGACGCACACUUCACCAAAACAAUCUCAUUGCCAAUAACAAACCCCACCAUUAUGUUCAAACACCUCACAGAAACCUUCUAACAGCACACCACACAUCAUCAUUUUGUCCUUAGCUUCUUUACCACCAAUUCAAGCAUGAUUACUUAUUUUAUCUAAGGCUAAAGCAAAUUUAAGACAUAUUUAAAUUGACUGAGUUCUCUAACACAACAUUCCAACAAUUCCCAAAUCAAAUACAAUUAUAAGAAUUCGACUAUUCAAAAUAGAAACUAGCUAGAAUACAUGACGAAUCAGGUGAUUAAAGGAAUAAACAUUAUCAAGAAGUACAACUGAAAUACAAAUACAACUACUGCCAUGCUUUCAACUCUGUUUUUCAUUUCUAUUUUCAAAUCGAAACUCACAUUAGGUAGAAUUCAGAAAAAAUGUACCUGAAAAUGAAAAAGGAAGUAAAUAAGUGAGGAUUCAGCACAGAUCAGCAGCCGAAAGCUCAACCAAAAGGAAGCAACAUCUGAGUCAGAAAAAGAAACCAGCAAUGGAACAGUGUUCUUCCCAAAGAACUGAAGGGGAUUUUAGAUUAUUUAAUAAUUUUCCAAAGAGAGCCAGCCGUUUUAAAAAAAGUACGACCCAGUACAAUACCACUCAGUGGUGUCUGGGGAGGGUAGUGUGUACGCAACCUUACCCCUACCCUGGGGUAGAGAGGCUGUUUCCAAAUAGACCCCCGGCAUAAAUUCCCAGAAUUUGCUCCUGGGGAGACUCGAACUCACAACCUCUCGGUUGUAAGUGAGGGUUGGUUACCAUCAGCCAGCCGUUUUAGUUUUAGGAUAUUUUCUUUUCCAAAAUCUGCCUUGAAUAUCAAGUAAUGAUACCUUUAUAGACAAGCUAUUUGGGCAGCCUCAAAGAAAUCAGAUUUGCACUUCUAGCCUUUUGAUAUUUUCAUUUUUGCUCUCAUACCCUUAGGGUAAAAUUCAGAUUCUCACAUGAGUUCCUAUCCCAGCUUCCAAGAAACUUCCUAAUUCAGUUAAAUAAGAUUCCCUAAGUUACAUUACCCAAAAUACCCCUUAAACCCCUGCUUUUUUACUUUCAGGCAACCAAACAGGUAUGGGUCAAUGUUGACCCAAGGUUCAAAUCCCAAAUGAAUAGGCCAGAAUUGAACUUAAGGCUAAAACAAAACUCAAAAACCCAUUUAGCUAAAUCAAUGAGAAGUAGAAAAGAGAAACAAAUGAACAACUUAAAAAGCCCAAAAUCUAAACUAACAAUUGAUUUUCUUUUUAAGCUAAAAUACCGAAUCAGAAUUAAACUAAAUUAAUAAAUUAAAAAAGAUCUAACUUAAACUAAUUAUCAAAAGGACAGUGUUAUAAUUAACCGAAAGAAAACAGAUAACAUCGUUCAAAAAUUUGAAGAAGAAAAUUGAGAAUUCACUCGAACAAAUACGACCGCUGCUUUAAUCAAGAGGGAAAACUAGAUUUGAGACUUUUUAUCACUUUCCAAUCAGAGAAACAAGCAUUAGAAGAAACGAAACAGAAGGAGGCUGGUUCAAAAAUGAAGCUGACGACAGAGACGAAGGAGCAAGAACAAAGAGAAAAUACAUCGAUGGCCAUACAGACAAGGCUUGAUAAACCUCAAACGACUCCAAUUUGACUCGCAACUAGUAUUAAUCGUAUGUUCUUUUUGAGAACAAACUAGCAAUACUCGUUUCAAGCCCAAUCGUUCACAAGAACUCGAGGACUUGAGAGAUUUUCUUCUCCUCCGAUUUCAAAUUUGAAACAUGUCCGAUUUGGCGAGGAUUUUGGGAAAAAUGGUGGGGAUUGGGGCUGAGGGAAGGGUGAUGGUUGAAAGGCUGGAUUUUGGUGGUGGUUGAAGCUAUCUCGCUGGCGAUAAUGGCGGACUAGCUCAAAGGCGCGUUAUCUGAUGAGGAGACGAGAGAAGGGCUCGUUUGGUCUUUUAGGUCUAACUGAGGGAUUUCGGACAGUCUUAUUUGAGAUAAGGGAUGUGCUUUGGAUCGUUGGAUGAAACAAAAUGAAGGGCCAGGAUUUGUUGAACUCAAAACGACGUUACUCUACUUCUAUACGACAUUGUUCCUAGUCUUAAUGACUGACCACUUGGAUCGAGUAAAACAAUGGGUUUUGGGCCAAAUUUGAUUGGUUAAUAGAGGGGAAUUCGUUGUGGGGUGGGGAAAAUUAAAUAGAUACAACCCAAUUAAGACUCCUUUCUCUUUCACUUCAACUUUCUUUUUAUUUUUAUUUUUCUUUUUAAUUCCUUUUCUUCUUUUUUCCUAUAUAAAAAUAAAAACCUAAAUUAAAUUUUAAAACCAAAUGAGCCUAUAAAAAAUAACUAAUUAAUUCUAAAUGACAAUUAUCAUAACUAAUUAACAACCAAAUUAAAGGAAAAAUUAUCAAAAAUCAAAACUAAAAUUAAAAAGUACAAAAUAAGUUAAUUUUUGUGAUUUUACCCCUUUUUUAUAAAAUAACUGAUUUUCUAAUUAAUCUAAAAAAUAUAGAAUUAAAUCAUAAAUGCAAAUGCAACAUAGUUUGGUAUUUUUCAUGAAUUAAAUAAAAUGAACGUGCACAGAUAAAUGCAAACAGUCAACAAAAAAUGCCACAAAAAAUCUAUAAAAUUACAAAUAAUGGGAGAAAUUUAUUUUCUUGAAUCAUAGAAGUAAUUCAUAUAGGGAAAAAAUCACGUGCUCAGUCACACCUCCUUUUUACCACACCCCCGCAAAGGGGCAUAUAAGGGAAUUCUUUCCAACUUAAUGUAACAAUCAAAACGAGAUUUAUUUAUUUAAAGAUUCAGAGUCACCACUUGGGAUAAUUUUAUGGUGUCCCAAGUCACCACUUCAAAUCCCGAAUCGAGGAAAAGAUCGACUCUGUAUUACAGUCCGCGAACACAGAAAUCCGGAUAUAAAAUUUUGUUAAUCCGGGAGAAAGUGUUAUGCAUUCUCGAGUUCCGUGAUUCUAGCACGGUCGCUCAAUAGUUAUAAUUGGCAUAUUAUCUGAGUUUAAUAUGUGUUUUAACCUAUGAUGCAAUUUUAAUUUUCUACUCGCUUUUAUUCAAUUAUCAUUUCAUGUUUUAGGAAAGAUUCAACGUUAUAUAAAACAUAUCUUGAACCACGUCACAUAAAUGCAACCGCGGUCUACGAUACAUUUUAUUUAACGUUGUUGAAAUUUGAAUGUGGGUCACAUAAAUACACACCCGAGUUUAAGGAAGUAAUUUUUAAAUAGCGCGCCUAAAACAACGCACUUUCAAAUUUGCGAAAGUCAUGAAAAGUUAAAUUAAUGACACGCCUCGAUUUCUUUCUAAGAACUACGGAUAUUAUAACUUUUCCUUCUAAGCUACUUAUAGAUUAUUGUAAGAAUAAAGUCGCUCAAUCAAAUACAGUCAUUUAAACCACAUAAUAAUUGUUUUCCACAAAAUUGCCUAUGCACAAUUGCACAUACGGACAAAAAACUCUAGAAAGAGUGCUCCUAAUUGUACUACUCCAUUCUUUUUGACUAAUUUUCUAGAAUAAUUAUUCCAACCGCAAUAGAUAACUUUCAAAAGGAUAAUAGUAAAAACAAUUUCAAAUAAAUUAAUUAGUACACGAUUCUUCAGCAAAGUGCUCGGAAGCAUUUCCUCAACAAAGCAUUUUUUCACACUAGCCAAUAUAAACAUUUUAGUUAAAUAGUCAAAGAUCUAAACAAUUUAAAAAAACAACAACAGAACAAAGCAAAUUCAACAUCAACACUAGAGAUUGAUUGCAACGAAUAAGCCAUAGUAGUCAAGUUGCAUUCAAUUCAACUGACAAAAUGCUAAAUGUUUGCAAACAUAACAGAGGUGAAGAUCCUUUUCGCAUUAAACAAGUAGAAAACAACAGACUUUAAUCAAACAAGCUGAAACCUAUGUCAAUUACUAUUUUACAAACAAAAUAAAAAAUAAACUGGAAAAUAAAGAAGGCCAAAGUGCAGAGCUUACCCAUUGAAAGCAAAGAAAAUAGUUCGAAGUAUCAAAUAGAAGCUGGAAAUGAGUCGGGAUGGGCGCAGUACACCUCGUCGGAAGCCUCAACAGAAACUCGACCAAAUCACCGGAAACUCGAAACCGACUCAAGAAACUCACUAAGCUCUGAUGACUUUACACGGCUGAAAUGGAUCUUAUACUUUUGGACCGGUCACUGGGCUGGAGACGGAACUGAUUUUGAGCAGUUUCAUGGUUGUUCUACGGCUAAUUUUGCAAGCUAAAACGUUGUUGAUAGAUUUUGGGCUAUUUUCAACUUAUUUUUUGAGCUACUUUAAUACCAAUUUGGGUUGAAGCUUUGAUGGGUUUAAGGGAUGUUUUACAGGGCUGAAAUAAGAGGUGAAAUUUAAUGGAGGUUAGUGUUUUGGUGUUCUAAUGGUGAGGAAGGAGAAGAAGAACGGGGUGGGGUGUCCUACGAUGAAAACGACGCUACUUUCUUUGUUUGACACCUCUCUAGGUCUUAGGCCUCUUUGUGUGUGUUUUCAGCUGCCAGACUUUAGGCGUAUUUCUUCUAUCUCCCUUGAAACCUAUUUUGUCUUCGUUUGAAACUUGAAUUGCUUUCCAUAUGUAUAUGAUUGUCAAAACUUGAAUUAUUUUUCCUGAAACUUGACUUGUUUUUCC